UAAAAAUAUUCUAUCAGGUUUAUGUGAAUAAAAUAGAGAACUGCCAACGGUAUUACUAUAUCCAAACUUUAAAAGGUUAAAAGACUGAAUAAUUAUUUUCAGCAUUAUCGUGUUCACAUAAGAUGACAUGAUAGCUUCAUCGAGGAGCCAUUAUUAGUAUUCAAAGGAUUUCCAUCCAAAAAUAUGUAUAUUCAGCCAUACAAUCGAAAUGCUGGAAAUACAUAUGAAGGGUAAGCAUCGUAGUUCGACGCUAGUGCUUUCACCGAAGGUCAAUCUGCCACAUCAUCCAAUGCUCCAAGGCCAAGUUCGGAGGAAUGAAUCCCGCCAUAGCAAGAACUAACCUUUAUUACUAUAAAGGUGCGAAAAAUUACGCAAUCCAGAAGAAUGUGGUAAAAAUAGAAGAGAGAAUCGGGUAGCUGAAUGAGCAUUAUGAAAAUUAGACAUGGGAAUUUGGUAACAACGAGAGAGUAACCAAUCUUGUAAAACUAUGCAUAAUUCGAGAAUGAUAGCACCAGCAAAGGAAUAUGAUUAUUUUGAAGAUCCAAGACGAAUAACUAUAUUGGC
rnacentral:lncRNA from 1 species